AGAUUGAACGCUGGCGGCAGGCCUAACACAUGCAAGUCGAGCGGCAGCACGGGUACUUGUACCUGGUGGCGAGCGGCGGACGGGUGAGUAAUGCCUAGGAAUCCGCCUGGUAGUGGGGGAUAACGCUCGGAAACGGACGCUAAUACCGCAUACGUCCUACGGGAGAAAGCAGGGGACCUUCGGGCCUUGCGCUAUCAGAUGAGCCUAGGUCGGAUUAGCUAGUUGGUGAGGUAAUGGCUCACCAAGGCGACGAUCCGUAACUGGUCUGAGAGGAUGAUCAGUCACACUGGAACUGAGACACGGUCCAGACUCCGUACGGGAGGCAGCAGUGGGAAUAUUGGACAAUGGGCGAAAGCCUGAUCCAGCCAUGCCGCGUGCGUGAAGAAGGUCUCGGAUUGUAAAGCACGUUUAAGUGGAGGAAGGCAGUUACUAAUACGUAUCUGUUUGACGUUACGACAGAAUAAGCACCGGCUAACUCUGUG
rnacentral:rRNA from 1 species